CUGCUCUCUGCCCCUCCCCCACUUGUUCUCUGUCUCUCUCUCCCCCCAAAAUAAAUAAACGUUAAAAAAAUAAAAAUAAAAUAAAAUCCUCUGCCUGGUAUAGCAGAGAAUGACAAAUUCUCAAAGACUGAUCGAUAGAUUUAAUAAUAAAAAAAAAGUUACUUCCUCACCCCUGUGUCUUCUGCAAAGCCGCGUUUUAAUUCCAUUAAUAAUUUAGUUUUUUUCUCCUACGUCUAGUGGGAGAGAGACCUCACAGUGUUUAGGCUUUAUUGUUCUGCUGAGCUAUUCAUGGGCCCAUGUAUUUCCUACUGCAUAAACCCAGACUGGACUUCGUGGACGGUGAUUACACUAAACCAACACCACAACGACCCCACCUUACUCCCAGGUUAUGGUCAAAUAUGUGUGGAUGUUUCUGACAAGCUACGUGGGAGACGAGUGGAGGCCCAGGAGUCGGAUCCAACUGUGUUUGUGGCUGGUACAGAGGAAGGUGAGAUGUAUGCAGGAAUUUCACGCUCCUUCACUCUUGAUAGGUGCUGCUAGGAAUCUGGGUUAGAGUCACAUUGGUGUUGGAUGCUCUGGGUGAACUCCUUAACUAUUUGUUUGUGGUACUGCUAAAUAUUUCCAGAUGUCAGCACCACACAUAUGCCACGAUGCUGUGAUUAAAACGCUCAGUGCUGAAACUCUUUUUUUUUUUUUAAUAAGAAAAAUGCAUAAGGAGAAAUUAAAUCUCCCUUUCUGUCUGGAACCCACCAUACAGAUCCUGCAUUAUUUACCAACCACAAGAGUUUUUCCUUGGCUGGUACAUGCGUCUCUCCUAGUGUUUUUUCCAGCUGCUCAUACAGACUUUGGCAAAGUUACUCACUAGCUCCGAAUACCAGGAUUACCCCAUUCUCGUUUAGCAGUUCAGGGAUUUGGCACCUGGAGGAAAAGCAAAGGCGGUUUCAGAAUCCUACUCAUUCCCCAAACGGAGCUAAGUGAUAGUCCCAGCCUCAUGGGGUUGUGUGAACACGGAAGAGGGCAUUGCGUGGAAAGUAUCUACUACAGUACCUGGUACCCACCGUGGUCUCGGGCAAGGCCAGUUCUUUUCCUGAGGCGGGUCACGUGAUACCCGACCAACAGAUUUUCACAUCGGCUGGGGCGGGGACAUUGGAGCCUCUGGUGUGGGUUUAUCUGUAGUGGAGACAUUGAUCGAAAAUCUUGGGAGUGUUAUGCAAGAAAAGAAACAGGCAGAAAGAACAGUAGUUCUGGAGCUGAAAGUUUGAAUCUCAGACUUCUCUCUUCCUCCCUCAGUGACCUUAGGCAAGGCACUCACAGUUGACCCUUGAACAACGCAAGGGUUAGGGGCACUGACCCUCUCGCAGUUGAAUAUCUGUGCAUAGUUUUUGACUGCCCCCCAGACUUACUACUAAUAGCCUACUGUUGACCGGAAGUCUUACCGAUGACACAGACAGUCGAUUAGCACAUAUUUUGUAUAUGAUAUGUAUUAUAUACUGUAUUCGUUUUUAAAAAAAAAAAUUUAUUAUCUACUUUGACAGAGAGAGACAGGCAGA